CCUAAACGUGCUGACUAUGCAACUUCAGACAAGAACCAAGAAAAGUCACCAUUAAGGAGGAUUAAGGUACCUUUUAGAGAAAGUACAGACGGUUCCGAUCUCGUGAAUAAUCUGCAACGGAGGGGUACUCUUGUGGUGAUGGAUGAUGAAGGAUGUCACUUCCUAAACAAAACUCGUACAGAAAAGUCAAAAGAUGAAAUAGAAG